CCUACGGGAGGCAGCAGUGGGGAAUUUUCCGCAAUGGGCGAAAGCCUGACGGAGCAAUACCGCGUGAGGGAGGAAGGCUCUUGGGUCGUAAACCUCUUUUCUCAGGGAAGAAAAAAAUGACGGUACCUGAGGAAUAAGCAUCGGCUAACUCCGUGCCAGCAGCCGCGGUAAUACGGAGGAUGCAAGCGUUAUCCGGAAUGAUUGGGCGUAAAGCGUCCGCAGGUGGCAAUACAAGUCUGCUGUCAAAGGUCAAGGCUCAACUUUGGACAGGCAGUGGAAACUGUAUAGCUAGAGUGCGGUGGGGGCAGAGGGAAUUCCCAGUGUAGCGGUGAAAUGCGUAGAGAUUGGGAAGAACACCAGUAGCGAAAGCGCUCUGCUAGGCCGCAACUGACACUCAGGGACGAAAGCUAGGGGAGCGAAUGGGAUUAGAUACCCCAGUAGUCCUAGCCGUAAACGAUGGAUACUAGGUGUAGCUUGUAUCGACCCAAGCUGUGCCGUAGCUAACGCGUUAAGUAUCCCGCCUGGGGAGUACGCCGGCAACGGUGAAACUCAAAGGAAUUGACGGGGGCCCGCACAAGCGGUGGAGUAUGUGGUUUAAUUCGAUGCAACGCGAAGAACCUUAC
rnacentral:rRNA from 1 species